AAACUACCUCAGCACGGGGAUAAACCCGGGAAACUGGGUAUAAUACCCGAUAGUUCUGGGAAGCUGGAAUGCUUCCAGGACGAAAGCUCCGGCGCCCAAGGAUGGGUCUGCGGCCUAUCAGGUAGUAGUGGGUGUAAUGUACCUACUAGCCUACGACGGGUACGGGUUGUGAGAGCAAGAGCCCGGAGAUGGAUUCUGAGACACGAAUCCAGGCCCUACGGGGUGCAGCAGGCGCGAAAACUUUACAAUGCUGGCAACAGCGAUAAGGGGACCUCGAGUGCCAGGAUACAAUCUUGGCUGUCGUAAUGCCUAAAAAGCAUUUCAUAGCAAGGGCCGGGCAAGACCGGUGCCAGCCGCCGCGGUAACACCGGCGGCUCGAGUGGUAACCGCUAUUAUUGGGUCUAAAGGGUCUGUAGCCGGCCGGAUAAGUCUUUUGGGAAAUCCAGCUGCUCAACAGUUGGGCUUUCAGAAGAUACUGUUCGGCUCGAGACCGGGAGAGGUGAGAGGUACUUCAGGGGUAGGGGUGAAAUCUUGUAAUCCUUGAAGGACCACCAGUGGCGAAGGCGUCUCACCAGAACGGAUCUGACGGCAAGGGACGAAAGCUAGGGGCACGAACCGGAUUAGAUACCCGGGUAGUCCUAGCCGUAAACGAUACUCGCUAGGUGUCAGCCACGGUGCGACCGUGGUUGGUGCCGUAGGGAAGCCGUGAAGCGAGCCACCUGGGAAGUACGGCAACAAGGCUGAA
rnacentral:rRNA from 1 species